GAUCUUGCAGGCAGAUCACUGGCAGCAACUUUUUUUUUUUUUGUACUUAUUAGUUACCCCACUCCCCCAGAAAGGAUGAAUCUGGAUUGAACAGAUGGAAAAUGUAGGGUGGCUAUUUUUAUGCCGACGACAAUGUGUGGACUCUGCAAAGAUGUUGCAGGUGCAAGGGACACUGAUCCCACAACAAACACCUUGAGUCAGCAGAGUCCAUAAAAAGUGGUGAUCUAACAUUUAAGGUGACAGUUUGUGCCUUGGGCUCCUUUCCUUUCCCCACAAAGGUCUGGUGGGACUCAGAACAAAUACAUUUUGCAGUCGUUUUUUGUUUACAUCACCAAAACCAGUGACAGGAUGCAAAAUACAUCAGGCUGGGAGCAACCACAAGGAAGGCCACACAUUUAUUCACAUAUGUCCAUUCUACUGAGGCCUAAAAAAACAACCACCAUCACCACCAUCAGGUGGUAUGGGAAAACAUGCUUCACCAACUUUGACUGAUUUUAAAAUGGCCUGCAACUACCUACUUUAGACUAAUAGUCACUAAAUGUUUCACUAAGGAGUCUAACCAAAUAGUAUACUUUAUAUUUUAUGCAUAAUUUAGUUUAUUUCUGCCAGUGAUGGAAAAGAAUACAGUACCCUGAUUUAUAAGCUCCAAUAGUCAUGAUCUCCAAAUCACAGAACUCCUACUGAGACCUUUGCUUUCUGUUGUUUCCUCGACUAUUCACUUAUCAAACCUUUCCUUAUAAUCAUAUGGACUGGAAGCUUGGUGUUUGUUGGUUUGUUUUUAAUUUAAUGGAGCUGAGAUUCUCAGAAUCUAAAUCUCUUUCUCUUUUUUAUUCUUCAUCUUCACUGUUGGAAUUGUAAAACAGACCCACUGCUGUAUGUGAUUUCUUGCUUUCUGCUGAACAUCUUAAGCAAUUGAUAUGGGAGAAGGUAUGUUGUAAGAGCUACGUAAAAGAAAGGCACAAUACUGAGCAAAGAUUUUUAAGUCAGUGGGCUUGUUUACAGGGACAAGACAUAUUACUGCUUCUUACAAGUAUCUGUGUAAUAAGAAAAAGAAAUGAAAGCAUAAUUAAACAGGUUCCAAAUCUCAUUGUGUAUCUUGGCUUGACACUUUUUGGACCUCUCCCCUUCUGCCUUUCUUGUUUCCCAGGGUGAACUAGGCCAUUAAAUCUAGGCCAGUCUUUUCCAGUUAUUCAAGAGUGAUUAUCUUUUUGAGAACAGUAAAACCCUUGCUGCAAAUAUUGGUUUAUAGUUGUUGUAUUUUCAGGUGUUUAACAUGGUUCCUGAGUAUGAAACGAGAGCUCCAACAGUGCAGUGACCAGACUAAAAGAAACAGAGCUACUGCUUUUAAGACUUUGCUUUUAUGCAGUUUAUGAUCCUUGUAAAUAAUGCACCACCCUUGUCUCCCUUUGGAUGUCUACGAAGAGCACAGUCAUUGCCUUACUGGAUGAGGCCAGUGGUCCAUCUGGUCCAGAAAUUCUUGGCCAGUUACUUGGUGCCUUUGGAAGCUGACAAGUAAGGCAAAAGGACUACAACUCCCAUCAUCCCUGAGCUGUGGCCUUGCUAGCUAGGGGUCAUGGGAGUUGUAGUUCAAAAACAUCUGGGGACCCACAGGUUUAGAAAGGCUGGUUUAGGCUUUCCCUUGUUGCUCAUCUAUUCCCCAGUGUGUGGUAUGCAGAGGAUCACUAGCUGCUUUUUUUAGCAUUUUCCUUAUGGCCCCAUCACUUAAACCAGUCCUCCCACUGCAUUAUUAUGAAUGAAGGCUAACCAUGCUUGGUACUUCUCUCUCUGUUAGGAUAUUUAGAAAGAAUCCCUCCUUCCUGCCCCCCUCUUCUUUUUGAAGGGUGUAUAUGGCUUUCAGUCAAGUCUUUAUUUCUGGAUCUUAUCCUAAUUUCAUACCUUGGUUUGACAAUAGCCUUUAAACCACUUUCCUCCUGCAGAUGUCACAGGAAACAGUGGUUUAGGAAACCAGGGUAUCUUUGCUGAAGUCAGGCAUGCGAGGAGAGACACAGCAAGCACACAUUCUUAGCCUGGAUCAACCCCAUGGAUUGUCCAUACUGAGAUCAUAAUGACACCUGAACCAGGCUGUUGUACUUUGUCAAACGUACACUGCAAGACCUCAGACUUGCUUUCUGGCAGAGCAGCCAAGAAUAUUCAGCUGAAAAAUCAAAUCAAAUGGGAACAAAAGG